GUCCCUUUGAGGACAUCCGAUAAAAUUGGAACGAUACAGAGAGAUUAGCAGGGCCCCUGCGUAAGGAUGACACGCACAAAUUGAGAAAUGAUAUUAUU